GUACUACUCCCUCCAUUCGGAAUUACUUGUCUCAGAAAUGGAUGUAUCUCAAACUAAAAUACGUCUAUAUACAUCCAUCUCUGAGACAAGUAAUUUCGAACAGAGGGAGUACUAC
rfam:Triticum aestivum genome assembly, contig: Triticum_aestivum_CS42_TGACv1_scaffold_135757_2BL